UACGUAGGGUGCAAGCGUUGUCCGGAAUUAUUGGGCGUAAAGAGCUCGUAGGCGGCUUGUCACGUCGACUGUGAAAACCCGGGGCUCAACUCCGGGCCUGCAGUCGAUACGGGCUGGCUUGAGUGCGGUAGGGGAGACUGGAAUUCCUGGUGUAGCGGUGAAAUGCGCAGAUAUCAGGAGGAACACCGGUGGCGAAGGCAGGUCUCUGGGCAUUAACUGACGCUGAGGAGCGAAAGCAUGGGGAGCGAACAGG
rnacentral:rRNA from 1 species